UACAGAGGGUGCGAGCGUUGUUCGGAAUUAUUGGGCGUAAAGGGCGCGUAGGCGGCGCCACAAGUCACUUGUGAAAACUCUGGGCUCAACUCAGAGCCUGCAAGCGAAACUGUGGUGCUGGAGUAUGGGAGAGGUGCGUGGAAUUCCCGGUGUAGCGGUGAAAUGCGCAGAUAUCAGGAAGAACACCCGUGGCGAAGGCGGCUCUCUGGGACGGUACUGACGCUGAGACGCGAAAGCGUGGGGAGCGAACAGG
rnacentral:rRNA from 1 species